rnacentral:tRNA from 1 species
AAGGACUUAAGUUAAAAAAACUAACAACCUUCAAAGUUGAAAUUAUAAGAAAGGAACCUUUUAGGCCUUA